GUGAGGAAUAUUGGUCAAUGGGCGCAAGCCUGAACCAGCCAUGCCGCGUGCAGGAAGACGGUCCUAUGGAUUGUAAACUGCUUUUAUUUGGGAAUAAACUCCGGUACGUGUACCGGCCUGAAGGUACCAAAUGAAUAAGCACCGGCUAACUCCGUGCCAGCAGCCGCGGUAAUACGGAGGGUGCAAGCGUUAUCCGGAAUCAUUGGGUUUAAAGGGUCCGCAGGCGGUCUUAUAAGUCAGUGGUGAAAGCCUACAGCUCAACUGUAGAACUGCCAUUGAUACUGUAGGACUUGAAUUCGAUCGAAGUGGGCGGAAUGUGACAUGUAGCGGUGAAAUGCUUAGAUAUGUCACAGAACACCGAUAGCGAAGGCAGCUCACUAGGUCUGGAUUGACGCUCAGGGACGAAAGCGUGGGGAGCAAACAGGAUUAGAAACCCUAGUAGUCC
rnacentral:rRNA from 1 species